AGUGGUUGUAGACGCGAAACCUUGCGAUCUACCCUUGAGCAGGUUGAAGGUUGGGUAAAACCAACUGGAGGACCGAACGAAUAAGCGUUGAAAAGCUUCUCGAUGACUUGAGGGUAGGGGUGAAAGGCUAAUCAAGCUGGGAAAUAGCUCGUACUCCCCGAAAUGCCUUUUGGGGCAGCGUUGUAAUAAAGAGUCUACUGGAGGUAGAGCUACUGAUUGGAUGCGGGGGCUUCACCGCCUACCAAAUCCUGACAAACUCCGAAUGCCAGUAGUAUGAUUUACAGCAGUGAGCGACCGGGUGCUAAUGUCCGGUUACGAGAGUGGAACAACACAGACCAGCAACUAAGGUCCCGAAGAGUAUACUAAGUUGAUCUAACGAUGUUUUGCUGCAGAGACAGCUAGGAUGUUAGCUUGGAAGCAGCUAUUCAUUCAAAGAGUGCGUAACAGCUCACUAGUCGAGCGACAGAGCGUGGAUAAUAAACGGGCAUCAAGCAUAUCACCGAAGUUCUGGGCGCGAGAGCGCGGUAGGGGAGCAUUCCAUUCAGCGUCGAAGCAGUUUCGUGAGGAAUUGUGGAGCGUAUGGAAAAGCAAAUGUAGGCAUGAGUAACGAUAAUGCGGGAGAGUAACCCGCACACCGCAAGACCAAGGUUUCCUGAUCAACGCUAAUCGGAUCAGGGUUAGUCGGGUCCUAAGGGUAAGCCGAACGGCGAUCUCGAUGGAUAAUCGGUUAAUAUUCCGAUACUAACAUAUACCUCGAUGGAGAGACGAAGGAACGUAAGUGCCGCCACCUGACGGAAUAGGUGGUUAAAGGGCGUAGGUAUAGGGGCAGAUUAAGAGUUAGUCCUUGCUGAAACCUGACAGUACAGAGAGCCUACGGGCAAUUUGAUAGAGCACCCAAGUCGACUUCCGAGAAAAUCUUCUAAGUUAUAGUAUAUGUUACCCGUACCGUAAACCGACACAGGUGGUCGAGGAGAGUAUCCUAAGGUGCUCGAGUGAAUCACGGUUAAGGAACUAGGCAAAUUAACCCCGUAACUUCGGGAAAAGGGGUCCCUAUGAAAGUAGGGCGCAGCGAAGAGGUCCAGGCGACUGUUUAUCAAAAACACAGGGCUCUGCAAAUUCGAAAGAAGACGUAUAGGGCCUGACACCUGCCCGGUGCUGGAAGGUUAAGAGGGGAUGUCAUCGCAAGAGAAGCAUUGAAUCGAAGCCCCAGUAAACGGCGGCCGUAACUAUAACGGUCCUAAGGUAGCGAAAUUCCUUGUCGGGUAAGUUCCGACCUGCACGAAUGGUGUAACGAUCUGGACACUGUCUCAACCGUGAGCUCGGUGAAAUUGUAGUCCCGGUGAUGAUGCCGGGUACCCGCAACGGGACGAAAAGACCCCGUGAACCUUUACUAUAGCUUAACGCUGAAUUUGGGUACACAAUGUGUAGGAUAGGCCGGAGGCUUUGAAGCGGGCACGCCAGUGUUCGUGGAGCCGACGUUGAAAUACGGCCCUUUGUGUAUUUGAGUUCUAACCCUGCGAAGGGGACACCGUUUGGUGGGUAGUUUGACUGGGGUGGUCGCCUCCAAAAGCGUAACGGAGGCUUCCCAAGGUACCCUCAGCACGAAUGGUAACCGUGCGCGGAGUGCAAUAGCAUAAGGGUGCUUGACUGUGAGACAUACAAGUCGACCAGGUACGAAAGUAGGGUAUAGUGAUCCGGUGGUUCUGCGUGGACUGGCCAUCGCUCAAAGGAUAAAAGGUACUCCGGGGAUAACAGGCUGAUCGCCGCCAAGAGCUCAUAUCGACGCGGCGGUUUGGCACCUCGAUGUCGGCUCGUCACAUCCUGGGGCUGGAGAAGGUCCCAAGGGUUCGGCUGUUCGCCGAUUAAAGUGGCACGCGAGCUGGGUUCAGAACGUCGUGAGACAGUUCGGUCUCUAUCUGUUGCGGGCGUAGGAAGAUUGAGGGGUCCUGACUUUAGUACGAGAGGACCGAGUUGGACGAACCUCCGGUGUAUCGGUUAUGCUGCCAAGUGUACUGCCGAGUAGCCGCGUUCGGUCUGGAUAAGCGCUGAAAGCAUCUAAGCGCGAAGCCAUCCCCAAGAUAAGUCUUCCCUUGAGGGGCGUAGGAGACUACUACGUUGAUAGGCUGCAGGUGUAAAGACAG
rnacentral:rRNA from 1 species